rfam:Rhizobacter sp. Root404 contig_2, whole genome shotgun sequence.
GGUCAAGUGACUAAGUGCAUGUGGUGGAUGCCUUGGCGAUUACAGGCGACGAAGGACGUGAUAGCCUGCGAUAAGCUUCGGGGAGCUGGCAAAUUAGCUUUGAUCCGGAGAUUUCCGAAUGGGGAAACCCACCCUUAGGGGUAUCGCAUGAUGAAUACAUAGUCAUGCGAGGCGAACCGGGUGAACUGAAACAUCUCAGUAGCUCGAGGAAUAGACAUCAACCGAGAUUCCGAAAGUAGCGGCGAGCGAAAUCGGAACAGCCUUGUACUCUUUAGCAAUCGACAUAUCAGAACGGAAUGGAAAGUCCGGCCAUAGCGGGUGAUAGCCCCGUAUGAAAAAUGACUUUUGUGGAACUAGGUGUACGACAAGUAGGGCGGGACACGUGACAUCCUGUCUGAAGAUGGGGGGACCAUCCUCCAAGGCUAAAUACUCGUAAUCGACCGAUAGUGAACUAGUACCGUGAGGGAAAGGCGAAAAGAACCCCGGGAGGGGAGUGAAAUAGAUCCUGAAACCGCAUGCAUACAAACAGUCGGAGCCUCCUUGUGGGGUGACGGCGUACCUUUUGUAUAAUGGGUCAGCGACUUACAUUCAGUGGCAAGGUUAACCGAAUAGGGAAGCCGUAGAGAAAUCGAGUCCGAAUAGGGCGUUCAGUCGCUGGGUGUAGACCCGAAACCAAGUGAUCUAUCCAUGGCCAGGAUGAAGGUGAGGUAACACUUACUGGAGGUCCGAACCGACUAAUGUUGCAAAAUUAGCGGAUGAGCUGUGGAUAGGGGUGAAAGGCUAAACAAACUUGGAAAUAGCUGGUUCUCUCCGAAAACUAUUUAGGUAGUGCCUCAAGUAUUACCAUCGGGGGUAGAGCACUGUUAUGGCUAGGGGGUCAUGGCGACUUACCAAACCAUUGCAAACUCCGAAUACCGAUGAGUACAGCUUGGGAGACAGUGCACCGGGUGCUAACGUCCGGACACAAGAGGGAAACAACCCAGACCGCCAGCUAAGGUCCCCAAAAUUGGCUAAGUGGGAAACGAAGUGGGAAGGCUAAAACAGUCAGGAUGUUGGCUUAGAAGCAGCCAUCAUUUAAAGAAAGCGUAAUAGCUCACUGAUCGAGUCGUCCUGCGCGGAAGAUGUAACGGGGCUAAGCCAGUUACCGAAGCUGCGGAUGUGCGCGCAAGCGUACGUGGUAGGAGAGCGUUCUGUACGCCUGUGAAGGUGGCUUGUGAAGGCUGCUGGAGGUAUCAGAAGUGCGAAUGCUGACAUGAGUAGCGUUAAAGGGGGUGAAAAGCCCCCUCGCCGAAAGCGCAAGGUUUCCUACGCAACGUUCAUCGGCGUAGGGUGAGUCGGCCCCUAAGGCGAGGCAGAGAUGCGUAGCUGAUGGGAAACAGGUCAAUAUUCCUGUACCGAUAUGUAGUGCGAUGUGGGGACGGAGAAGGUUAACUCAGCCGGGUGUUGGAUGUCCCGGUUCAAGCGUGUAGUCAUACCCUUUAGGCAAAUCCGGAGGGUUUAGAUGAGGCGUGAUAACGAGGAGGCUUGCCUCUGAAGUGAGUGAUACCCUGCUUCCAGGAAAAGCCACUAAGCUUCAGCUACAUACGACCGUACCGCAAACCGACACUGGUGCGCGAGAUGAGUAUUCUAAGGCGCUUGAGAGAACUCUGGAGAAGGAACUCGGCAAAUUGACACCGUAACUUCGGAAGAAGGUGUGCCUUUAGUAGGUGAUCCAUUUACUUGGUGAGCCCAAUGAGGCCGCAGAGAAUCGGUGGCUGCAACUGUUUAUUAAAAACACAGCACUCUGCAAAGACGAAAGUCGACGUAUAGGGUGUGACGCCUGCCCGGUGCUGGAAGAUUAAAUGAUGGGGUGCAAGCUCUUGACUGAAGUCCCAGUAAACGGCGGCCGUAACUAUAACGGUCCUAAGGUAGCGAAAUUCCUUGUCGGGUAAGUUCCGACCUGCACGAAUGGCGUAAUGAUGGCCACACUGUCUCCUCCAGAGACUCAGCGAAGUUGAAAUGUUUGUGAUGAUGCAAUCUCCCCGCGGAAAGACGGAAAGACCCCAUGAACCUUUACUGUAGCUUUACAUUGGACUUUGAACAGAUCUGUGUAGGAUAGGUGGGAGGCUUUGAAGCGGUGCCGCUAGGUGUCGUGGAGCCAACGUUGAAAUACCACCCUGGUGUGUUUGAGGUUCUAACCUUGGCCCGUUAUCCGGGUUGGGGACAGUGUAUGGUGGGCAGUUUGACUGGGGCGGUCUCCUCCCAAAGCGUAACGGAGGAGUUCGAAGGUACGCUAGCCACGGUCGGAAAUCGUGGUGAUAGUGCAUUGGCAUAAGCGUGCUUGACUGCGAGACUGACAAGUCGAGCAGGUACGAAAGUAGGACAAAGUGAUCCGGUGGUUCUGUAUGGAAGGGCCAUCGCUCAACGGAUAAAAGGUACUCUGGGGAUAACAGGCUGAUACCGCCCAAGAGUUCAUAUCGACGGCGGUGUUUGGCACCUCGAUGUCGGCUCAUCUCAUCCUGGGGCUGUAGCCGGUCCCAAGGGUAUGGCUGUUCGCCAUUUAAAGAGGUACGUGAGCUGGGUUUAAAACGUCGUGAGACAGUUUGGUCCCUAUCUUCCGUGGGCGCUGCAAGAUUGAGAGAGCCUGCUCCUAGUACGAGAGGACCGGAGUGGACGCACCUCUGGUGUAUCGGUUGUCACGCCAGUGGCAUUGCCGAGUAGCUAAGUGCGGAAGAGAUAACCGCUGAAAGCAUCUAAGCGGGAAACUCGUCUCAAGAUGAGUCUUGCCGGGGCCUUGAGCCCCCUGAAGGGUCGUUCGAGACCAGGACGUUGAUAGGCUGGGUGUGGAAGCGCAGUAAUGCGUUAAGCUAACCAGUACUAAUUGCCCGUGAGGCUUGACCCU